rnacentral:tRNA from 2 species
GGAGAGGUGUCCGAGUGGCUUAAGGAGCUUGCUUGGAAAGCAAGUGUGCGGUAACCCCGUACCGCGGGUUCGAAUCCCGCCCUCUCCGCCA